UUUCCGUAGGUGAACNUGCGGAAGGAUCAUUA
rnacentral:rRNA from 1 species